UUACAUUUAUACUGUUAAAAACGAGCCUAGGUUCUUCAUUGGCAUUGAUGGUCCCGUGAAGAACCUUUAACAUCCAUGGAAACUUUCCAUUCCACAAAAUGUUCUUUAAAGUGGAAAG